rnacentral:rRNA from 1 species
CCUACGGGUGGCAGCAGUGGGGAAUAUUGCGCAAUGGGCGAAAGCCUGACGCAGCGACGCCGCGUGAGGGAUGAAGGUCUUCGGAUCGGAAACCUCUGUCAGCAGGGAAGAACGGUCACUGUGCUAAUCAGCAGUGAAUUGACGGUACCUGCAAAGGAAGCACCGGCUAACUCCGUGCCAGGAGCCGCGGUAAUACGGAGGGUGCGAGCGUUAAUCGGAAUUACUGGGCGUAAAGCGCUCGUAGGCGGUAUGUCAAGUCAAGGGUGAAAUCCCCGCGCUCAACGUGGGCACUGCCUUUGAAACUGGCAAACUGGAGUGGGUGAGAGGAUAGUGGAAUUCCAGGUGUAGGAGUGAAAUCCGUAGAUAUCUGGAGGAACAUCAGUGGCGAAGGCGACUAUCUGGCACAUAACUGACGCUGAGGAGCGAAAGCGUGGGUAGCAAACAGGAUUAGAUACCCCUGUAGUC